AAGGGGGUCUUAUCGGGAUUGAAUCUUCUGGGUCGCUGGUAGGUGAGCGAAAUACAAGGAAGGGUUUGUCUGUUAGGUCGUACGGCUGAGUGGAAGAAUUGGUGAAGGUGUCAAUGAGUAGAGCGUGGGUCUGGCUUAAGGGCCUGGAUAGGCUGAAGUUCUAGCAGUUGGCUGGUUUGUUGAAAUAUAGUGGAGGUGGUAACAGGUCGGUCUUGGUUGUCUGAAGGCGGCAGGGUUUGGAUUGUUUUCUUCCUCCUUGGUACAAAUGUUUGUGUUGAUUGGUCUGACGUGGUGGUACAUUCUGUUUGAGUCUGUUGGUCUCUUGUGGUUGGUCGGUUGGAGUUACUUGGUCGGCGGCGGGUGAUCGUUGGGAGAGGGAUGGGUGUGGCGGAGGAGGGAAACUGGGUGCGGUAGGUGAGGCUUACGAUGAGGUAAUUCUGCUUUAAAGUGGUGAUAGUCGAGGAAUCAGCCGCGUGAUAGGAUGAGAAGAUGUGGCGAUCUUGAUGUAGUGGGCUGGUAGUCCUGAUUUUUUUAAUAUUAUUCGGUUAGCGGCGUGCAUUUUAGAGUGGGUGGAAACUUCAUGGGCUAUGACGAUUUCCUCGGUCGAGAAGGAUUGGUGAACGUUCCUUAGAAAGACUGUAUGUAAUCUGGAGCCGCUUUUGGGUGGUUGACAGGGAACGAGUGGAUUGGAGUUUCAUGGUCAGCAUAAUAGGUCGAAGUCUUCGGGAGAUUUUGGCUGCAGGCCGAUACCCCCUUUGCGAAGUUUCCUAGUGAGCUCGUGGAAGACUACACUUGCAGAUGAAGGAGGCGGUGUCCCGGGGAGAGACGUCGACGUCGGGAGCACGGUGAAGUUUAGUAUGAUUUUUUUGCAGCUGUAACUUGCUCACAAAGGAAGUUUUAUACAUCAUCUGUCACGAUUAUGUCACAUAAUAAAGGCGUUGACUGUCAUUACCACGUGCAAUCACGUCUCUGAUUGGCUGUGGGAGGUAUUUUCUUGAAAACAGCUUUAAAAAGCAGGAACUAAAAGUGACAAAUUAAGCAGACAUAAUUAAUUUCUACAAGUGUGGGUGUUUUUUCGACAUAAACAUUUGGCAUUGUAGAAGGCUGAGUGAAAAAAAAACCAAAAACAAACAGCAACUAAGUUCCUGCUGGAUUCAAUUAAACAAAAGAAAAGAAAGGUUAAACCAAGGUCACACUGUGUGCGUAUUUCAGCAUAAGUUCAAUAGGUUAGCGUGCAUGCGUGUUUAAUGAAAAUCGCCCAAGUUACUACUGCUACCUCGAGUAUUAUAAAAGCUGGUAACCAGCAAACAUAAGCAAUAAAAAACAUCAAUCAUUAGUAGCAGUUAGAAAGACAGCGACGCUCUAAGUAAGCAAUAGCUCAACUCUUUUCAUACCUCGAGACGACAACACAGAAUCGUCGUAAGCAGACAGGAGGCAAGAAGAGUUGUGGAAGUAGACUGUUUUUGUUUGAAACCUUUUGACAAAAGAACUAUGAAAGCAACUAGCCAUACAGAUGAAAAAACCGAGAAGACCAGAAGAAGGUAAAAGAGGGAUAAAAAAAAA